rnacentral:rRNA from 1 species
ACUUCGGGAGAAGGGGUGCUUUCUUAACGGAAAGCCGCAGUGAAUAGGCCCAAGCGACUGUUUAGCAAAAACACAGGUCUCUGCGAAGCCGUAAGGCGAAGUAUAGGGGCUGACACCUGCCCGGUGCUGGAAGGUUAAGGAGAGGGGUUAGCGUAAGCGAAGCUCUGAACUGAAGCCCCAGUAAACGGCGGCCGUAACUAUAACGGUCCUAAGGUAGCGAAAUUCCUUGUCGGGUAAGUUCCGACCCGCACGAAAGGUGUAACGAUUUGGGCACUGUCUCAACCAGAGACUCGGUGAAAUUAUAGUACCUGUGAAGAUGCAGGUUACCCGCGACAGGACGGAAAGACCCCGUGGAGCUUUACUGUA